rnacentral:rRNA from 1 species
UAGGGAAUCUUCCACAAUGGACGAAAGUCUGAUGGAGCAACGCCGCGUGAGUGAAGAAGAGUUUCGGCUCGUAAAACUCUGUUGUUAAAGAAGAACAUAUCUGAGAGUAACUGUUCAGGUAUUGACGGUAUUUAACCAGAAAGCCACGGCUAACUACGUGCCUG